rnacentral:rRNA from 1 species
GUUUUACGUCCCCUGCCUUUGUACACACCGCCCGUCGCUACUCCGGAUUGAUGGCUCAGUGAGGCGUCCGGACUGGCCCAGAGAGGCGGGCAACUGCCACUCAGGGCCGGAAAGCUCUCCAAACUCGGUCAUUUAGAGGAAGUAAAAGUCGUAACAAGGUCUCCGUUGGUGAACCAGCGGAGGGAUCAUUA